GAUGAACGCUGGCGGCGUGCCUAAUACAUGCCAGUCGAGCGAACAGACGAGGAGCUUGCUCCUUUGACGUUAGCGGCGGACGGGUGAGUAACACGUAGGUAACCUACCUAUAAGACUGGGAUAACUUCGGGAAACCGGAGCUAAUACCGGAUAAUAUUUCGAACCGCAUGGUUCGAUAGUGAAAGAUGGCUUUGCUAUCACUUAUAGAUGGACCUGCGCCGUAUUAGCUAGUUGGUAAGGUAACGGCUUACCAAGGCAACGAUACGUAGCCGACCUGAGAGGGUGAUCGGCCACACUGGAACUGAGACACGGUCCAGACUCCUACGGGAGGCAGCAGUAGGGAAUCUUCCGCAACGGGCGAAAGCCUGACGGAGCAACGCCGCGUGAGUGAUGAAGGUCUUCGGAUCGUAAAACUCUGUUAUUAGGGAAGAACAAACGUGUAAGUAACUGUGCACGUCUUGACGGUACCUAAUCAGAAAGCCACGGCUAACUACGUG
rnacentral:rRNA from 1 species